ACGCUCGACACCUACGGGGCAGCAGUCGGGAAUAUUGCGCAAUGGAGGAAACUCUGACGCAGUGACGCCGCGUGCAGGAAGAAGGUUUUCGGAUUGUAAACUGCUUUAGACAGGGAAGAACAAAUGACAGUACCUGUAGAAUAAGCUCCGGCUAACUACGUGCAGCAGCCGCGGUAAUCUGAGCGGGCUGGCAAGGC
rnacentral:rRNA from 1 species